UACGGAGGGUGCGAGCGUUGUCCGGAAUCAUUGGGCGUAAAGGGCGCGUAGGUGGCCCGGUCAGUUCGUGGUGAAAGCGCGGGGCUCAACCCUGCGUCGGCCAUGAAUACUGCCGCGGCUGGAGCACUGUAGAGGCAGGCGGAAUUCCGGGUGUAGCGGUGGAAUGCGUAGAGAUCCGGAGGAACACCAGCGGCGAAGGCGGCAUCCUGGACUGGUCCUGACACUCAGGAGCGAAAGCGUGGGGAGCGAUCCGG
rnacentral:rRNA from 1 species